rnacentral:rRNA from 1 species
GUAGGGAAUAUUGGACAAUGGGCGAAAGCCUGAUCCAGCCAUGCCGCGUGAUAGAUGAAGGCCCUCUGGGUUGUAAAUAUCUUUUAUCUGGGAAGAAACUCCUCUAUUCUUAGAGGCCUGACGGUACCAGAGGAAUAAGCACCGGCUAACUCCGUGCCAGCAGCCGCGGUAAUACGGAGGGUGCAAUCGUUAUCCGGAUUCACUGGGUUUAAAGGGUGCGUAGGCGGGUUGAUAAGUCAGUGGUGAAAGCUCCGGGCUUAACUUGGGAGCUGCCAUUGAUACUGUCAGUCUUGAAUGUCGUAGAGGUAAGCGGAAUGUUGCAUGUAGCGGUGAAAUGCUUAGAUAUGUUACAGAACACCAAUUGCGAAGGCAGCUUACUAUGCGAUAAUUGACGCUGAGGCACGAAAGCGUGGGGAGCAAACAGGAUUAGAUACCCGAGUAGUCC